GAUGAACGCUGGCGGCGUGCCUAACACAUGCAAGUCGAGCGAUUUACUUCGGUAAAGAGCGGCGGACGGGUGAGUAACGCGUGGGUAACCUGCCCUGUACACACGGAUAACAUACCGAAAGGUAUGCUAAUACGAGAUAAUAUGCUUUUAUCGCAUGGUAGAAGUAUCAAAGCUUUUGCGGUACAGGAUGGACCCGCGUCUGAUUAGCUAGUUGGUGAGGUAACGGCUCACCAAGGCGACGAUCAGUAGCCGACCUGAGAGGGUGAUCGGCCACAUUGGAACUGAGACACGGUCCAAACUCCUACGGGAGGCAGCAGUGGGGAAUAUUGCACAAUGGGCGAAAGCCUGAUGCAUCAACGCCGCGUGAGCGAUGAAGGCCUUCGGGUCGUAAAGCUCUGUCCUCAAGGAAGAUAAUGACGGUACUUGAGGAGGAAGCCCCGGCUAACUACGUG
rnacentral:rRNA from 1 species